UACGUAGGGGGCAAGCGUUGUCCGGAUUUAUUGGGCGUAAAGAGCUCGUAGGUGGUUCGGUAAGUCGGAUGUGAAAUCUCCAGGCUCAACCUGGAGGGGUCAUUCGAUACUGCCGUGACUAGAGGUCGGUAGGGGAGUGUGGAAUUCCCGGUGUAGCGGUGAAAUGCGCAGAUAUCGGGAGGAACACCAGUGGCGAAGGCGGCACUCUGGGCCGGAACUGACGCUGAGGAGCGAAAGCGUGGGGAGCGAACAGG
rnacentral:rRNA from 1 species